GUGUAGUGUUGAUAUAGAUCAAACUUAAUUUGGUUUAGCACUUGCUCCUUGUAAUUCUAGUAAUCAAUCAAUUAUUAAACAAAAGUGUAUAAUGUUUACAAUCAAACAUAUUUUUCUUUACUUUAGCCUUGUCGUGCUAGCACAAUUUAUUUUAGAACUCAGUGGUAAUUUCAGGAAGUGGUCUGAUCAAGACCAUGCUCUGGCAGCUCCUCUACUGCAUUCAACAGCUUCCAAGCAGGAGUGAGUAGCUUGGCUAAAGAUGAGUAUCUCCUUUAAAACAAUACAAGCACUAGCAUGUUAUAGACCUACACGGUAAAAAUAUUUAUUGGAUUCUUGGAAAUCCAAAAGCAUUAUUGCUUCAAUGGAUGAAGUGGAACUGUUGCACUGGAGUUCAUGAGACUGGUGUCUGUGGACCUCAAGAAAACAUGUUAUGAAGGACUGGACAGGAAUCUUUCCAAGCUCCUUGAAUUCCACCGGGCCGAGAGUGGUGGAAGGAUGGAGCUAAAACACCUUAUGGACAGUCUUGACAAAGACAUAGAGUUCCAAUCAAAGGAAGAAAGAGGCUGUGCUCCGAGGCUUGCCAUACUUCCUGUGUAAUCGGCCUGUGUGUAGCUGGUGUAGAGAGUCAGGCGCAGGACAGCAGAUAUGAGUAAUCAACGUAUUUACUCAGUUUUUCGGGAAUCCUUAUCGUUGUGGAUGGAGCUGCUGCAGAUGACCCAAUGCCAGCUGACAAUGUGGACUUUGCCCUUGUGAUAGAAGAGCAGAUGAUGCAUGAGCUACAUACAUGAGCUCCACAAUGUCCCAAAUGCCUUUGCCGCUUUGAUUGGACUUCUUUAUUGUCUGACCAUGAAUUACCCAAAAUGUCUGAAAUAUGCUUUUGAGGUAGUUCAGAAAAUAUUCUUGAAGAUUGGUGCAGAAAACUGUACAGCAAAAGUGCAUGGGCUGAAGAACCGUCUUCUUCGUUCUUCUUCGUCAACUAAUUGGUGUGUUUUUGUUUUACUCACAUUAGUUGAGUUUAUUACUCUGACAACAAUGCUGUUAUUUGCCUAAAUCUUACAAAUCUCAGUUUUGGGAAGACUUAAGUUAUCCUAUUUUUACGUGUGACCUUCAGUCUACAAACUACAACCGUCUUUUGUUAGAGACCAUUGAUUUGCUGUCAUCUCUUCCCAUUAACUACAGCACAUUCUGAAAAUGUUUCCAUUUUUCACACUCGACCCCAACUUGUCUUAGAAACCAUACGGAAGAUUGUCUUUGCUCAGUGUUUGAAAUGUUAUUUACGUGUAUGGGUUUAUUGGGCAGUGGAAUAAGAGUCCAGAAACAUAAUUUAGAAUCACCUAUAAAAUCACCGAUAAAAUAAGGCAACUGAUUAAAUCAUCUUUAAAAACAAGCUUUUUCAAGUCAUGUACCUGCAUGCAGGGAUGUUCUUUAGUAUGAGUCAAAUUAUGAGUUUGAUUGUCGAUUAAGUCAGAGUCCUGGUGGUUGAUUUUUGAGCAAAACACUGGGGUUCACAUAACCUCAAUGUUAUUUACGCAAUCAAAGAAGUUUAAUGGCAUUAUUUGCUACAUUUUAGUUUUAUUUAGCAUGUUAUUUUCAUUUGGCAUAUGUGCUUUAGAAUGUCAAUUAUUGAAUAGAAGUGCUUUUUGGCAACUAAAUGUUUUAUUUGGCAUAAUGAAUACAUUCUUGCUAACCUUACAUGAGUGAACAAGGUGUAGCCCCAACAAAGUCCAAGUCAAGACACAAGUCAUUAUAAUCAGGACUCGAAUCAGACUUGUGUACUACAGCCUUGAGACAAUUGAGACAUGGAUUGUGUAUGUGUGCCAUUCAGAGACUGCUUGCAUGGAUGACUUAAAACGUGUGUGCUCGGUACCAGUAAACACGUUUCUAAUGUUUAAGAAGUGCCACUUGUUUCAGAGGUGCCACUGAUGACACUGUGAUAUAGAAAACCUACAAAUAGUACUGGAAAUGUUUACACACACAAAAAAAAGUUUGACAAAACAUUUAUCUUAAAAAAAAAUUCUUAGCUGAUAUUGGUUAACUUCUUAUGGGCAGGUGGGACGGUAGCAUCCCACCUGGCCAACAUCUGGUGAAAUUGCAGAGCGCGAAAUUCAAACUACAGAAUUAUAAAUAUUUAACUUUCAUAAAAUCACAAGUGUAGUACAUCAAAAUAAAGCUUAACUUCUUGUUAAUCCAGCCGCUGUGUCAGAUAUCAAAAAGGCUUUAACUUCUCUGGGACAUGUGAGAAGCUAGCGUCCCACCUGCGGGACACACUAUUCAACAGCCAGUGAAAUAGCAGGGCGGCAAAUUCAAAACAACAAAAAUCUCAUAAUUCAAAAUUCUCAAACAUGCAACUAUUAUAUCCCAUUUUAAAGAUACACUUCUCGUUAAUCCAACCACAUUGUCCAAUUUCAAAAAGGCUUUACGGCGAAAGCAUAACAUUAGAUUAUGUUAGGACCGCGCUGAGACAAGAAAAACCACACAGCCAUUUUCCAAGCAAGGAGAGGCAUCACAAAAAACAGAAAUACAGCUAAAAUUAAUCACUAACCUUUCAUGAUCUUCAUCAGAUGGCACUUAUAGGACUUCAUGUUACACAAUACAUGUAUGUUUUGCUCGAUAAAGUUCAUAUUUAUAUCCAAAACCCCCAUUUUACAUUGGCGUGUAAUGUUCAGAAAUGUUUUGCCUCCCAAAACUUCCAGUGAAUGAGCACAUCAAUUUACAGAACUACUCAUCAUAAACGUUGAUAAAAUAUUAAACUGUUUUUCAAAGAAUUAUAGAUACACUUCUCCUUAAUGCAACCGCUGUGUCAGAUUUUUUAAAAACUUUACAGCGAAAGCACACUUUGCAAUAAUCUGAGUACAGCGCUCAGACAACAACAACAAGUAAUACAGAUACCCGCCAUUUUGGAGUCAACUAAAAUCAGAAAUAGCAUUAUAAAUAUUCACUUACCUUUGAUGAUCUUCAUCAGAAUGCACUCUCAAGAAUCCCAGUUCCACAAUAAAUGUUUAUUUUGUAUGAUAAAGUCCAUCAUUUAUGUCCAAAUACCUCCUUUUUGUUCGCGCGUUCAGUCCACUACUCCAAACGCGCGCAAAAUGUCACGACAAAAAGUAAAAAAAAGUUAUAUUUACGUUCGUAGAAACAUGUCAAACGAUGUAUAGCAUCAAUCUUUAGGAUGUUUUUAUCAUAAAUCUUCAGUAAUAUUCCAACCGGACAAUUCCAAUGUCUUCAGAAAAGAAAAGGAAUUCAGCUAACUCUCACAGGAGUGCGCGCCACUGAACUCAUGUCAUUCUCUCAGUCAUCUGACUCCAGGAGCUCUUAUUCUCUCCCCAGUCACAGUAGAAGCAUGAAACAAAAUUCUAAAGACUGUUGACAUCUAGUGGAAGCCUUAGGAAGUGCAAAAUGACCCCACAGACACUGUAUACUUGAUAGGGAGUCACUUGAAAAACCACAAACCACUUCCUGGUUGGAUUUCUUCUCAGGUUUUUGCCUGCCAUAUGAGUUCUGUUAUACUCACAGACAUCAUUCAAACGGUUUUAGAAACUUCAGAGUGUUUUCUAUCCAAAUCUACUAAUAAUAUGCAUAUCCUACCUUCUGGGCCCGAGUAGCAGGCAGUUUGAUUUGGGCAUGUUAUUCAUCUGAAUUUCCGAAUACUGCCCUCUGUCACCAAGAAGUUAAGGCGAAAGCACACCAUGCGAUUAUCUGAGGACAGCGCCUCGCAUACAAAAGCAUGAAAAACAUGUUUCAACCAGGCAGGUGCGCCACGAAAGUCAGAAAUAGCGAUAUAAUAAAUGCCUUACCUUUGAUGAUCUUCUUCUGUUGGCACUCCAAAAGGUCCCAGAUACAUCACAAAUGGUCCUUUUGUUCGAUAAUGUCCUUCUUUAUAUCCAUAAAAACAGUUUAGCUGGCGCGCUUCAGUCAAUAAUCCACCCAGUUUCCCUCCAUCAAAAUGCAUACAAAAUGAAUCCCAAACGUUACUAAUAAACUUUUACAAACAAGUCAAACAACGUUUAUAAUCAAACCUUAGGUACCCUAAUACGUAAAUAAACGAUCAAAUUUAAGACGGAGAAUCGUUAUUGUCUUUACCAGAGAAAAAUACCAAAGAACGCGCUCUCUUCCACGCGCUUGGAAACACUACAGCCAAAAUGGGAGCCACCGAGAAAAACUACAAUUUAUGGCUCAUUUUUCCAAAAACCAGCAUGAAACUCUUUCUAAAGACUGUUGACAUCUAGUGGAAGCCCUAGGCACUGCAAUCAGGGAGGAUUUGGCCUUAUAAUAAAAGUGACAGCCAUUGAAAACAGUGGUAGGCUGAAUUUUUCUUUUUUGGGAUGGUUUGUCCUUGGGGUUUCACCUGCCAUAUCAGUUCUGUUAUACUCACACACAUAAUUUUAACAGUUUUAGAAACUUUAGAGUGUUUUCUAUAAAAAAUCUGCAAAUUAUAUGCAUAUCCUAGCUUCUGGGCCUGAGUAACAGGCAGUUUUCUUUGGGCAUGCUUUUCAUCCAGAUGUGAAAAUACUGCCCCCUACCCAAGAGAGGUUAGAAGAUCAAUUACAGAUCAGUGACAGCAGAAUUUGUCUGCCUGUUUAAAUGCACCAUAAGACAUGCAGCUCAAAAUGCAUUCUAGGGAACAAUACAUUGUUGCAAAUGUAUUUGUUUGUUAAUACAUAGUGUAAUAAAUGUUCUGAAAUAGACGAUUGGACUAUUUUGUCAUUACAAGCUAGAUGUAAUUAAUGGAUUUCAAUGUAAGUUGUUGAAUCAAUCAAUGUACUCUUGAUAGUAAAUAAAUCAUUGUAAAUAUAAACACAUUUUAAAAUGGAGAUAAGCUUUAUGUCACGACUUCCGCCGAAGUCGGCUCCUCUCCUUGUUCGGGCGGCGUUCAGCGAUCGACGUCACCAGCUUUCUAGCCAUCGCCGCUUCAUUUUUCAUUUAUCCAUUUGUUUUGUCUUGUCCCCUGCACACCUGGUUUUCAUUCCCCAAUCACACUGCAUAUAUUUAUUCCUCUGUUCCCCCUCAUGUCUUUGUGUGAAAUUGUUUUGUGUUACGUGUCAGUUUUGACACGCCAGACUGGUGUUUGUUUAUUCCGUGUUUUGUCACGAGGUAUGUUUAUUUGUUUGAACAUAAUUAUUGUGACUGUUUGCGUGUUUUGCACUUUUGGCUGGAGGUUUUAACGCAGUGGCGUCCGUCUGUUAUGUACACCUGUUCACAACUCUCUGCUCUCCUGCACCUGACUCCACUCCCAGUACGCACACCAUUGACACUUUACUAAAUCUGAACUUUUUUUCAACUGUACAUACUGGGUUAUGAAGUUUACAUGUUUCAUUAGUCAAAGUCAUUUUGUUGAGUGCAGCCUGUGGCAAGCUCGUCUGUUAUGUCACUAAUAGUAUAGUUAUUUAUGUGUGGCCUGCUUGACUUGCUCGUAGCCACAGCGUAGCACCACCAGCCAAACAGGUUGAGAACUCUGUGUUACAAUAAAUUAACAUGAAAGUAGGCUUGACUUAAGUGCAUGUUGAUUGAACAAGGAUUGCAAAUGGUUAACUCUUUUAACCUGUUAGGGCUAGGGGGCAGUAUUGACACGGCCGGAUAAAAAACGUACCCGAUUUAAUCUGGUUACUACUCCUGCCCAGUAA
rnacentral:lncRNA from 1 species